CAUGCAGUCGAGCGGUAGCACAGAGAGCUUGCUCUCGGGUGACGAGCGGCGGACGGGUGAGUAAUGUCUGGGAAACUGCCUGAUGGAGGGGGAUAACUACUGGAAACGGUAGCUAAUACCGCAUAACGUCGCAAGACCAAAGUGGGGGACCUUCGGGCCUCAUGCCAUCAGAUGUGCCCAGAUGGGAUUAGCUGGUAGGUGGGGUAACGGCUCACCUAGGCGACGAUCCCUAGCUGGUCUGAGAGGAUGACCAGCCACACUGGAACUGAGACACGGUCCAGACUCCUACGGGAGGCAGCAGUGGGGAAUAUUGCACAAUGGGCGCAAGCCUGAUGCAGCCAUGCCGCGUGUGUGAAGAAGGCCUUCGGGUUGUAAAGCACUUUCAGCGGGGAGGAAGGCGGUGAGGUUAAUAACCUCAUCGAUUGACGUUACCCGCAGAAGAAGCACCGGCUAACUCCGUGCCAGCAGCCGCGGUAAUACGGAGGGUGCAAGCGUUAAUCGGAAUUACUGGGCGUAAAGCGCACGCAGGCGGUCUGUCAAGUCGGAUGUGAAAUCCCCGGGCUCAACCUGGGAACUGCAUUCGAAACUGGCAGGCUAGAGUCUUGUAGAGGGGGGUAGAAUUCCAGUGUAGCGGUGAAAUGCGUAGAGAUCUGGAGGAAUACCGGUGGCGAAGCGGUCCCCUGGACAAAGACUGACGCUCAAGUGCGAAAGCGUGGGGAGCAAACAGGAUUAGAUACCCUGGUAGUCCACGCUGUAAACGAUGUCGAUUUGGAGGUUGUGCCCUUGAGGCGUGGCUUCCGGAGCUAACGCGUUAAAUCGACCGCCUGGGGAGUACGGCCGCAAGGUUAAAACUCAAAUGAAUUGACGGGGGCCCGCACAAGCGGUGGAGCAUGUGGUUUAAUUCGAUGCAACGCGAAGAACCUUACCUGGUCUUGACAUCCACAGAACUUAGCAGAGAUGGUUUGGUGCCUUCGGGAACUGUGAGACAGGUGCUGCAUGGCUGUCGUCAGCUCGUGUUGUGAAAUGUUGGGUUAAGUCCCGCAACGAGCGCAACCCUUAUCCUUUGUUGCCAGCGGUUAGGCCGGGAACUCAAAGGAGACUGCCAGUGAUAAACUGGAGGAAGGUGGGGAUGACGUCAAGUCAUCAUGGCCCUUACGACCAGGGCUACACACGUGCUACAAUGGCAUAUACAAAGAGAAGCGACCUCGCGAGAGCAAGCGGACCUCAUAAAGUAUGUCGUAGUCCGGAUUGGAGUCUGCAACUCGACUCCAUGAAGUCGGAAUCGCUAGUAAUCGUAGAUCAGAAUGCUACGGUGAAUACGUUCCCGGGCCUUGUACACACCGCCCGUCACACCAUGGGAGUGGGUUGCAAAAGAAGUAGGUAGCUUAACCUUCGGGAGGGCGCUAC
rnacentral:rRNA from 1 species